CCUACGGGAGGCAGCAGUGGGGAAUAUUGGACAAUGGGGGGAACCCUGAUCCAGCCAUGCCGCGUGUGUGAAGAAGGCCCUCGGGUUGUAAAGCACUUUCAGUGAGGAAGAACGCCUGGUGGUUAAUACCCAUCAGGAAAGACAUCACUCACAGAAGAAGCACCGGCUAACUCCGUGCCAGCAGCCGCGGUAAUACGGAGGGUGCGAGCGUUAAUCGGAAUUACUGGGCGUAAAGCGCGCGUAGGUGGCUUGAUAAGCCGGUUGUGAAAGCCCCGGGCUCAACCUGGGAACGGCAUCCGGAACUGUCAAGCUAGAGUGCAGGAGAGGAAGGUAGAAUUCCCGGUGUAGCGGUGAAAUGCGUAGAGAUCGGGAGGAAUACCAGUGGCGAGGGCGGCCUUCUGGACUGACACUGACACUGAGGUGCGAAAGCGUGGGUAGCAAACAGGAUUAGAUACCCUUGUAGUC
rnacentral:rRNA from 1 species